rnacentral:rRNA from 1 species
UACGUAGGUGACAAGCGUUGUCCGGAUUGACUGGGCGUAAAGCGCACGCAGGCGGACGCGCGCGUGGGGUGUGAAAUCUGGCCGCUUAACGGCCAGGCGCCAUCCCAUACGGCGCGUCUGGAGUGAUGCAGAGGUCGAUGGAAUUGCCGGUGUAGUGGUGAAAUGCGUAGAGAUCGGGCAGGAACACCCAGGGGGAAACCAGUCGACUGGGCAUCUACUGACGCUGAUGGCGCGAA